rnacentral:rRNA from 1 species
UGAGGAAUAUUGGUCAAUGGGCGGGAGCCUGAACCAGCCAAGCCGCGUGAGGGAGGAAGGCCCUAUGGGUCGUAAACCUCUUUUGUCAGGGAACAAAAGCGAGUAUGUAUACUAGUCUGAGUGUACCUGAAGAAAAAGCAUCGGCUAACUCCGUGCCAGCAGCCGCGGUAAUACGGAGGAUGGGAGCGUUAUCCGGAUUUAUUGGGUUUAAAGGGUGCGUAGGCGGCGGUGCAAGUCAGCGGUAAAAGGCCCGGGGCUCAACCCCGGCGAGCCGUUGAAACUGCAGUGCUAGAGAAGGCGAGAGGUACGCGGAAUGCGCAGUGUAGCGGUGAAAUGCUUAGAUAUUGCGCAGAACUCCGAUUGCGAAGGCAGCGUACUGGCGCCUGACUGACGCUGAGGCACGAAAGCGUGGGGAUCGAACAGGAUUAGAUACC